rnacentral:snRNA from 1 species
GUGCUCGCUUCGGCAGCAUACAUACUAAAAUUGGAACGAUACAGAGAUUAGCAUGGCCCCUGAGCAAGGAUGACACGCAAAUUCAUGAAGUGUUCUGUAUUUUU